UCUAAAAAAUUACAAAAAUGUUGACUGUAUAUGUGUACAUUUAUAUAUUUAGAAAUAAUAUGUGCUUAUUUUAAAUAUUGGAAAGUAGCUGGAUUUUGUUAACCACUUUUUUCCAGCAUUAAUAACCUUGUAGUAUAACCUAGUUCCAAACAAUUCAAAUGUAUUUGAAUUAUCGGUGGUACAUAUGAAAAUGAUACAGAAUUCUAAACGAAUCAUUUAUAGCUCAGAGUAAAUUAUCUAAAGGGUUAUUAUUAUUUGUAAUUUUUGGAAACAGAUAAUAUUAUUUCCUUUCUCAUCCAAAAUCCUGAUUUGGUGAAUGUAGUUUGCAAACUCCUACAUGAAUAACAGUCUUCAGUCUACUUUUCCAAUACUGUACUUUGGUAUUUGAAGUAUAGUUACUUUCAGAGGAGAGUUAACUUUCUAUAUAUUUGGUUACUUUAUCAUUACUUGAUCUUUACCUGGAAUAUGAGGCUUUUGUCACAAAUUGGAAAAAUAGCCAUUGGAGGAAAAUGUCAGCAAUGAUAUUCUCUAUAUCAGUAGGAAGUUUCAUAAGUGGAUUUUGCAUUUCAAAAAUAUGCAUCUUUUAAUUUUAGAGUCCUGGAAUACUUCAAAAAAUAGUGGCAUGUUUAUACAAUUAGUUAAUCUUAGGAAAAAAAUUUCUGGAGAAUUAUUUGUAAUUAAGGUAUAUAAUUAUGUUUAUUUUAAAAAUAAAUUCUGGUUGAAGAUCAAUAUCAAUAUUUCUUCUAUGGAUGGAAUGUAAAAGAGUCA
rnacentral:lncRNA from 1 species